rnacentral:lncRNA from 1 species
AGGGGUCCAGAACAGAUUAAUGCCAUUUCAAUGGGGAAAAUUGAUUUGACAUAUGAGUGAUUCAAGUUACGAGUUCCGUUGUAGGGUUAGCGGUAGCACUCGCACCCCUACUAAGGUUUGGACCCCGUCUUUCAUCCUUGACACAUGUUCUAAUUUUUAUUGUAAUGUCUAUUUCAUGUCUUUUCAACCAUCGAGUCAGAUGUUCAAUCCCAAAGGUGUACAACUCUUAUGUUUUUUUGAAACUUUAAAGAACUUUAUUAAAUUUAAAAAAAGGCAAAACUUACAAUAAAAUGAGUAACUGAAAUACUAUGUCUCUCCUUCAAUAACACUGUUUUUUUCUUUGUAUACUUCGUCCGGACCAACCACCACAACAUCCAACAUAACCAAGACCAGCAACCACCAGGAGCAACAUCAACAAGGAGGGGGGGACACCUAACACCGCUUAGUGGCCAAACCUUUAAAUUAUCACUACUUUGCAUAAUAAUCAAAUUUAAACUAAUUAUAAUAAACAUCUUAGUAAUAAAAUAAGAAUAAAUUAUUAUCCAUAAAUAAAU